AUAAAGCGACAGACGAUUCCACUCUUUCGUAUUCCUUCAGCAGUGCGAGUGCCCGUGCGAGUGUCAGUACUGGAAUUGCCUUUGCUUCCGGAGAGAGUGGAACACACAGCUGGCUCAAAACACUGUUGCAGAGUCUGAAGCAUCUGGGAGAAGGAGGCGGCUCGAAAACUACGCUGCGGCUGUCGUCUCUGGAACAGGGGGAGAAAUAUCCCAUCCUAAGUGCGAGACGGACGACGACGAAAUUUGGAGCAGCGGUCGUAGUAUACUUGAAGGAGUCCAAAAUAUUCCUUCCUGCAAGAUUCUCCACUCUCAAAGAUGAAGAAUUGGAAUUUCUGAAUUCCGGAACAGUUGCUCUGAUAUAGCGUGGUAGGAAAAAUAGUAUGGAUAUCAUUGACUUUGAAUCUGUUUGAUAAAUACUAACAUAUGUUUCCUUAUACUAAUAUUACGUAGUUGUUAGCAUAUUGUGAUACUAACCAUGUCUAUUCAAAUACGGAAAGUUUCACCGGAUGGCAAGAUCAAGGAAAUAGAUUUGCAAUCCUUAAAAGACGAUACCUGUGGCACAGAUUUUGAAACAUGACAUUAGUAUUUGCGGUAAAAGUAAUAGGAUGUGGUGAGGAUGUAAAUGCAUAUUCCGAAUUUAAUGGAAAAAUAGUGCAGCUAAUUCAGAGUGCUUUAAACAAGGUGAACAUUUUGCUGCUUUUCAAGUCUAUGACAAAUACGAGUGUACUUAUUACACAGAGUUAUAUGUUACCAAGUUUAAUAAUCUUGUUGAUACUUACAUUAAAGAGAUUUUGUUUGUAUUGUAUACAAUUUGUUCUCAUAAUGCAUUUAGUUGUCAAUUUGAUUUUCUAAAUGGAGCGGCUUGCCUCAAAACAUGGUUAAAGAGUGGGGAUGUUUCAUUUAUAUAUUCUAAUUGUAAUGUCCUGUUGUCUGCCAUAUACGAUAUUUUGAGAAGCGCUGAAAGUGAAUAAUGACCGAACCAUCGCCAAAGCGCAUUAAGCUGAAUCAUGAUCAUCAGGAAAGUAAUGCUCUGGAAUGGGUUUCGGUUGAAAGUGUGUUCAAAAAUAGAAUAUGUACAGGUGAAAUAUCUAACCGAGGGGGGCUUUAAGGACCCAAAAUAUUUCUUGGAUGCAUGUUUCUCUGUCUUUGAGAACAUAGUGCGUAAAAUUAACAAGCCUCUUAAAAUUAAUUUUUCACUCAUUUGCAACUUUGUCCUGCCCAAAUCGGGGGACGUAGAAGGUAAGUACUUAAAUACAAAGAAUUUAAAUCUAUUCUCCUCUGACAUUACCGAAGAGUGGUAUUCAACUAAAAUUAGGGAUGUACUGUUAAAGAAACUGGGGAAAUUUCAAUUGAGAGAUUCAGGUUGGGCGCUGCGUAAUAUAGUAAAACUAUGUAUUAAUGUUAACGAAAACAAAGGGUUUUAUGCAGGACGUCACACGAAACUGCCAAAAGUGAUUGCGAAUAAACAUGCAGUAAUUAACGUUCACUCGAGAGGUAAUGCUUGUUUUAAAUGGGCAAUUCUAGCUGCUUUGUAUCCUGUAAGCAGGAAUGCGCACCGUGUGUCUGGAUAUUUUGCACAGGCAAACAAAUUAAACUUUUCUAAUAUACCA
rnacentral:lncRNA from 1 species